rnacentral:rRNA from 1 species
AUGCACGCUGGCGGCGUGCUUCACCCCUGCCAGUCGCACGAAGCAUUUAAGACAGAUUACUUCGGUUUGAAGUCUUUUAUGACUGAGUGGCGGACGGGUGAGUAACGCGUGGGUAACCUGCCUCAUACAGGGGGAUAGCAGCUGGAAACGGCUGGUAAUACCGCAUAAGCGCACAGUACCACAUGGUACAGUGUGAAAAACUCCGGUGGUAUGAGAUGGACCCGCGUCUGAUUAGCUUGUUGGCGGGGUAACGGCCCACCAAGGCGACGAUCAGUAGCCGACCUGAGAGGGUGACCGGCCACAUUGGGACUGAGACACGGCCCAGACUCCUACGGGAGGCAGCAGUGGGGAAUAUUGCACAAUGGAGGAAACUCUGAUGCAGCGACGCCGCGUGAGUGAAGAAGUAGUUCGCUAUGUAAAGCUCUAUCAGCAGGGAAGAUAGUGACGGUACCUGACGAAGAAGCUCCGGCUAAAUACGUG